UUAAGUUCAGCGGGUAGUCCUACCUGAUUUGAGGUCAAACAUUCAGAAGUUGUCCGCAAGGGACAGUUAGAAGCUGAACAGACAGAGAGCAGCCUUUGUCAAUGGCGUAGAUAAUUAUCACACCGGCGACAGACCGCAAACGGUUCCACUAAUGCAUUUUAGGGGAGCCGACCUCGAAAGAGGCCCGCAGAAACCCCCAA
rnacentral:misc_RNA from 1 species